rnacentral:rRNA from 1 species
UACGUAGGGUGCAAGCGUUGUCCGGAAUUAUUGGGCGUAAAGAGCUCGUAGGCGGCUUGUCGCGUCGGCUGUGAAAACCUGGGGCUCAACCCUGGGCCUGCAGCCGAUACGGGCAGACUGGAGUUCGGCAGGGGAGACUGGAAUUCCUGGUGUAGCGGUGAAAUGCGCAGAUAUCAGGAGGAACACCGGUGGCGAAGGCGGGUCUCUGGGCCGAUACUGACGCUGAGGAGCGAAAGCGUGGGGAGCGAACAGG